UACGUAGGGUCCGAGCGUUGUCCGGAAUUACUGGGCGUAAAGAGCUCGUAGGCGGCCUGUCGCGUCGGAUGUGAAAGCCCGGGGCUCAACCCCGGGUCUGCAUUCGAUACGGGCAGGCUAGAGUGUGGUAGGGGAGAUCGGAAUUCCUGGUGUAGCGGUGAAAUGCGCAGAUAUCAGGAGGAACACCGGUGGCGAAGGCGGAUCUCUGGGCCAUUACUGACGCUGAGGAGCGAAAGCGUGGGGAGCGAACAGG
rnacentral:rRNA from 1 species